UACGUAGGUGGCAAGCGUUGUCCGGAAUUAUUGGGCGUAAAGCGCGCGCAGGCGGGACUUUAAGUCUACUUUAAAAGUGCGGGGCUCAACCCCGUGAUGGGGUGGAAACUAAAGUUCUUGAGUGUCGGAGAGGAAAGUGGAAUUCCCAGUGUAGCGGUGAAAUGCGUAGAGAUUGGGAGGAACACCAGUGGCGAAGGCGACUUUCUGGACGAUGUCUGACGCUGAGGCGCGAAAGCCAGGGGAGUGAACG
rnacentral:rRNA from 1 species